AGACCCGAAACCCGGUGAUCUAGCCAUGGGCAGGUUGAAGGUUGGGUAACACUAACUGGAGGACCGAACCGACUAAUGUUGAAAAAUUAGCGGAUGACCUGUGGCUGGGGGUGAAAGGCCAAUCAAACCGGGAGAUAGCUGGUUCUCCCCGAAAGCUAUUUAGGUAGCGCCUCGUGAAUUCAUCUCCGGGGGUAGAGCACUGUUUCGGCUAGGGGGCCAUCCCGGCUUACCAACCCGAUGCAAACUGCGAAUACCGGAGAAUGUUAUCACGGGAGACACACGGCGGGUGCUAACGUCCGUCGUGAAGAGGGAAACAACCCAGACCGCCAGCUAAGGUCCCAAAGUCAUGGUUAAGUGGGAAACGAUGUGGGAAGGCCCAGACAGCCAGGAUGUUGGCUUAGAAGCAGCCAUCAUUUAAAGAAAGCGUAAUAGCUCACUGGUCGAGUCGGCCUGCGCGGAAGAUGUAACGGGGCUAAACCAUGCACCGAAGCUGCGGCAGCGAACGUAUCACUUAAAGCGAUUCAGCGGAUGACGAUUGACGGAGCGAAGCGACGUCAAAGCGUAUACAAAGUCGAGUCGGUUUAAGGAUACGUUCGUUGGGUAGGGGAGCGUUCUGUAAGCCUGUGAAGGUGGCCUGUGAGGGUUGCUGGAGGUAUCAGAAGUGCGAAUGCUGACA
rnacentral:rRNA from 1 species